rnacentral:lncRNA from 1 species
GUAAACAACUAUUUUAUAUCCCCUUAAUUAAAAAAGGAAAAGCAGUUUCUAAAAAAAAAAUAGGGUAAGGUCGGAGCAAUAUGGCGGAAGAUGGAUGGGAGACCCUCUUUUGUUUUCUCUAAUCAUCUAUUGUUACUACAUGAGUUUGGUGUAGCCAUUUUUUUUAACGAAGGUGUUUUGGUUUCUUUAUAUUUUUUAAUGACGGUGUUUUUAUUGGUGUAGAUAGAUCAUACUUGCUUCAACAAAAAGAAUAAGAAAGAAAUAUGGUGGUUCAUGAUGGUUGAAUAUAAUCGUAUCACAAUGGAGUUGAUUGAAAGGUAUAGUAGAGAACCCCUUUAUAUUGAUUGUGUCAUGAAAAAUGCUGAAAGAAAAUCCAAAAGAUUAGUCAAAAAAAUUCUUAAAUAUUCAACUUCGACAUAGUUACUUGAUAUCUAUAUUAAAAGAGAAAUUAGCAAGUACUUAUCUAAGUAUUUAUCAAAAAUUGAAACACGGUACUUAGAAAACCUUUAGUCCAAUUCCAUCUAUAAAUGUUCUUAAGAGGGUGUGUGUCAAGUCCUUAUAAGGUGUAUCGUUGUAUCUAACACUUUUCUUGCGUUUUUCCUUAAUUCAAUUUUUCCCCUUUUGUUUAGAUGUCAUUGUGUUUGAUUGAAAUUAGCAUUCUUUUAAUUAUUUUGUUCACAACUUCAGUAGACAUAGAUUUGAAGAAAACAAGAUCAUGAAGACUUUAGGUGUCACCAUUCUUUGUUCAAGACGCACUGAAGCAUAAAUGGGACAAAUAUAGAGAAUAUACAAUAAUAAUUUAAGUUAUAGAAGUCAAGAUAUUAUUGAUGUGUCUAUAUAUAUUAUUGAUGUUUAUUAGUUAUUAUAUGUUUAUUAUAUGUGUUAUAGUCUCAUUAUUUUUCUAUUAUCAUAUGUCCAAUGUGAAAAAGAAGAUAAUGUAUCAUCGACUCCAAAAGAGUGAUAGAGAGGAAAGAGAGAGAGAGAGAGUAAUGAAGUAAUAAAAAGAGAAGGACAAUAGGGAGAUAUGGUGGAUAUGCUUUGACUGCGACCUAACUACAUAUCUUCAUAGAAAUUGCACAAAGGGCAGGAUUCGUCACCAGAGAGAUACAACGGUUUCCUUAUUAUUUUGAAUUCAUGAAAUUGUGUAAAAUUGUUUGAAAAGAAGUUGUGAAUUUCAAAUUCAAGUCUGCAAUAUUUUUAAUGCAUGUUAUUUUUUUUGGUUUCAAUUUUACCUUUUUACUUUAUGUUUACGCUCUAAUAUGGAGACAAGAUAACUCACGGUUGGCGGCUUUGGUUGUGCAAUUUUAUAUUGUUUGACUGAUUUUGUAGUUUACUAAUAAAAUAAUCAUUGUAUUUAUAUUUUUUUUGGUGAAUAAUCACUAUAUGUUACAUUGUAUCUAUAAUCUAUUUCUAUGACAUACGCAGACAUUAUCUUAUUUUUGUGUAGUCUUUUUAUCCAACCAAACUAUGUGUGUGUAUAUGGCAGCAAUUAUGAGAUAUGAGGCUCUAGAAAAAGUGAGAUUCCUUCAACAAACGAAAACUGUGAGAUAUGUAGCACCAACACUUGCUCAUUUUCACUUUUUUCUAUCGAUGCCGAUGUGUCAAAAUUGAGAUCAGUGUCGGCGUGUAUAGCUUGGAUAUCCUAUUGCCAUCUCUUAUGUGGAUGAUUUAUAGGUUAGAUAUUCUAUUUCAUGCUUAUAUUUUCUUAUCAUUUUUUUCUUUGAAACUUCAAAUUUAUUUGUGAGCCUUUUUUAUGUCAAGAGGGUUAUUUGUUACUGUUUAUGAUGCCUUUUUAUAAGAUUGUUGAUUGUUUAUAGGUUAAUUUUGUAAGACUUUUGAUUCUUUAGGGGUUAAUUUUGGAGCAAAUGGACGGUAAGACCAAUGGAAAAUGACCUAAACGGAUUGGAACUCUCCAAACUAGACUGGAAGUAUACAAGAGACAAGCUCAGGGGUUGUCCUGAGGGCGGGCGCAAGGGGCGACAGUCCAGGGCACCAUUUUUUCAGGGGCACCAAAAUUAUAAUUUUUACUUAAUAGUUAGUACUAUAUAGAUAUAUAUCUUUUUAAUUCGC